rnacentral:sRNA from 1 species
UAGAGAGAACCAAUUUGGUUCUCUCUAUUUUUUUAUAUGUGCUGCCUCAUCAAAAAGAAGUUAGGACAAAUAGCUGUCAACAAUUGCCUUUUGCUUAUCUCUUCAGUUGCUGUGAUUUUAUCAUACAGUGAUAAAAGAUGGUAGUUGCCAUUGACAAAGCAUUGAUAAAGGAGUAAAAUUAA